rnacentral:misc_RNA from 1 species
GUAGGUGAACCUGCGGAAGGAUCAUUAUAAAAUUUUUCAUAUAUUAAAUUUAUUCAAUAUAUAAAAUUUAUACAAAAAUGUAUUCAAAACCCACACUCUUUAUAACCAUAAGAAAAUAUAUUUAUAUAUUUUAUAAUAUAAUAAAAAAACAACUUUCAACAACGGAUCUCUUGGCUCUC